rnacentral:rRNA from 1 species
GACGGAGGAUGCAAGCGUUAUCCGGAAUGACUGGGCGUAAAGCGUCCGCAGGUGGCAGUUCAAGUCUGCUGUCAAAGACCGGGGCUUAACUUCGGAAAGGCAGUGGAAACUGAACAGCUAGAGUAUGGUAGGGGCAGAGGGAAUUCCUGGUGUAGCGGUGAAAUGCGUAGAGAUCAGGAAGAACAUCGGUGGCGAAGGCGCUCUGCUGGACCAUAACUGACACUCAGGGACGAAAGCUAGGGGAGCGAAUGGG